AUACUGGGGGGGCGAGCGUUGUUCGGAUUUACUGGGCGUAAAGGGCUCGUAGGCGGCCAACUAAGUCGGUUGUGAAAUCCCUCGGCUCAACCGGGGAACUGCGACCGAUACUGGAUGGCUUGAAGCCGGGAGAGGGAUGCGGAAUUCCAGGUGUAGCGGUGAAAUGCGUAGAUAUCUGGAGGAACACCCGUGGCGAAGGCGGCAUCCUGGACCGGUCUUGACGCUGAGGAGCGAAAGCUAGGGUAGCAAACGGGAUUAGAAACCCCGGUAGUCC
rnacentral:rRNA from 1 species